CAUACACUGUAUAUUUGCUUACAUAUUCUUUAUUAUUGUUGUUGUUGUUGUUAUUGACACACUGGGGAUUAAGCUCAAUGCCCCACAUGUGCUAGGUCAGUGUUCUACCAAUAAGCCACACCCCAGCUUGAGGAAGGGACAUUUCUCUUUCUUCCUCUCCCUGAAGUCAUUUUUGCUCCUUUUGGGCUAUAUCAUGCCACUGAGAAUGCAUGCAAAGUAAUCCUGCUCCCUGUGCCAAUUAGCGCAUGGCAUGGGGGUGGUACGUGGCAUCUUGGUGAGGAUGAAAGCCAAGCAGCGGAAGGCUGAUUUCCCUACGGUCACAGGUAUUAAUAAUCCAAACAGAAGACUUUUAUACACCCAUUUACUACUGUUCACAAAAAUCCAGGCAAGUUGCAAUCCCAGAGAGAGAGGAUGAAUGGUCUCCUCAUUGGGCAAAGUUGCUGCAGAUUUUGCCUGCAAGAUGGGGCCAGCAAAGCAAUAAAGAGGCUGUGUUGUGCGACAGAUUAAAUCCAAGCGUAAGCAUUCCAGCACUCAGCCAAGCCGCCCUUCCCUCCCCUAGCCUGUCAGGCUCUCACAAAGUGCUCCCAAUCCCGUCCUUCCUUCCUACCCAAAGCCAGGCAACACAGAACCAGCUUUUCCUGGCUGUGCCCUGCAAGCAGGGUCUGCCUGGUGGAAAAGUGUAAUAAAAUCAAGAAGGAAGAAGGCAAAUUCACUAAGACAUGCUCUGACAGCAAGCAAUCACGGGAAACCAUAGCUUCCGAAAUGGCCACCCCCCAAUGAAAUGAAAUGAAAUGAAAUGAAAUGAAAUGAAAUAAAGCAGAAAUAAUCCUCUCAACCUCAAAGUCGCUUUCCACAAACGCCAGUUGCAAAGCUACAGCCCUCCUUUACUAGUGCCAGCAGGAACCUCCAUCACAUUAUAAUACAUGUCUGCUUGGGGUACGGGGAUAACUCCCAAGUGCCCACCCCCCAUGCCCAACUGAAAAAAAAAAUUCAGGCUACAGUUAGCUAGAGCUGCUGAGGAUCUGAGCCAAGCGCUAAGCUCCCCACGGGGAGUUGAAAACAACGAUAUGGGAAGCCUGAGGUUAUGAAA